CUACUCCCACAACAACAGAGUCUGGAGCAACAACAACAGUUGCUGCCACCACAACCACUCCUGCUAAAAUAUCUACCACAUCUGGUCCCACAACACCAACAGAAGCUGUCACAACAAUUUCAUUAACCCCCACAACACCAGCUGUUCAAACAACAACAUCACCUGAUCUCACAUCAAUGUCAACUACACCCAUCAACACAGGGGCUACCACAACAACAGGUUCUCCAACAGAAACCACAUCUGUUCCCUCAAUGACCACAACAGCUCUACCAACAACAACAGCGUUUGGAACAACAGUUUUUACAGAAACAGCAACCACACCUGCUGAUAUGACUACCACAUCUGGUCCCAUAACCACAUCAGCUGCUGUCACAACAAUUUCAGAAAAUCCCACAACAACAUCUGUUGCAACAACAACAUCACUUGAUGUCACAACAAUUUCUUCUACUCCCACAACAACAGAGUCUGGAGCAACAACAACAGUUGCUGCCACCACAACCACUCCUGCUGAAAUAUCUACCACAUCUGGUCCCACAACACCAACAGAAGCUGUCACAACAAUUUCAUUAACCCCCACAACACCAGCUGUUCAAACAACAACAUCACCUGAUCUCACAUCAAUGUCAACUACACCCAUCAACACAGGGGCUACCACAACAACAGGUUCUCCAACAGAAACCACAUCUGUUCCCUCAAUGACCACAACAGCUCUACCAACAACAACAGCGUUUGGAACAACAGUUUUUACAGAAACAGCAACCACACCUGCUGAUAUGACUACCACAUCUGGUCCCAUAACCACAUCAGCUGCUGUCACAACAAUUUCAGAAAAUCCCACAACAACAUCUGUUGCAACAACAACAUCACUUGAUGUCACAACAAUUUCUGCUACUCCCACAACAACAGAGUCUGGAGCAACAACAACAGUUGCUGCCACCACAACCACUCCUGCUAAAAUAUCUACCACAUCUGGUCCCACAACACCAACAGAAGCUGUCACAACAAUUUCAUUAACCCCCACAACACCAGCUGUUCAAACAACAACAUCACCUGAUCUCACAUCAAUGUCAACUACACCCAUCAACACAGGGGCUACCACAACAACAGGUUCACCAGCAGAAACCACAUCUGUUCCCUCAAUGACCACAACAGCUCUACCAACAAAAACAGCUUUUGGAACAACAGUUUUUACAGAAACAGCAACCACACCUGCUGAUAUGACUACCACAUCUGGUCCCAUAACAGCAUCAGCUGCUGUCACAACAAUUUCAGUAAAUCCCACAACAACAUCUGUUGCAACAACAACAUCACUUGAUGUCACAACAAUUUCAGCUACUCCCACAACAACAGAGUCUGGAGCAACAACAACAGUUGCUGCCACCACAACCACUCCUGCUGAAAUAUCUACCACAUCUGGUCCCACAACACCAACAGAAGGCUGUCACAACAAUUUCAUUAACCCCCACAACACCAGCUGUUCAAACAACAACAUCACCUGAUCUCACAUCAAUGUCAACUACACCCAUCAACACAGGGGCUACCACAACAACAGGUUCUCCAACAGAAACCACAUCUGUUCCCUCAAUGUCCACAACAGCUCUACCAACAACAACAGCGUUUGGAACAACAGGUUUUACAGAAACAGCAACCACACCUGCUGAUAUGACUACCACAUCUGGUCCCAUAACCACAUCAGCUGCUGUCACAACAAUUUCAGCAAAUCACACAACAACAUCUGCUGGAACAACAACAUCACUUGAUGUCACAACAAUUUCUGCUACUCCCACAACAACAGAGUCUGGACUAACAACAACAGUUGCUGCCACAACAACCUCUCCUGCUGAAAUAUCUACCACAUCUGGUCCCACAACACCAACAGAAGCUGUCACAACAAUUUCAUUAACCCCCACAACACCAGCUGUUCAAACAACAACAUCACCUGAUCUUACAUCAAUGUCAACUACACCCAUCAACACAGGGGCUACCACAACAACAGGUUCACCAGCAGAAACCACAUCUGUUCCCUCAACGACCACAACAGCUCUACCAACAACAACAACGUUGGGAACAACAGUUUUUACAGAAACAGCAACCACACCUGCUGAUAUGACAACCACAUCUGGUCCCAUAACAACAUCAGCUGCUGUCACAACAAUUUCAGUAAAUCCCACAACAACAUCUGUUGCAACAACAACAUCACUUGAUGUCACAACAAUUUCUGCUACUCCCACAACAACAGAGUCUGGAGCAACAACAACAGUUGCUGCCACAACAACCUCUCCUGCUAACAUAUCUACCACAUCUGGUCCCACAACACCAACAGCAGCUGUCACAACAAUUUCAUCAACCCCCACAACACCAACUGUUCCAAAAACAACAUCACCUGAUCUCACAUCAAUGUCAACUACCCCCAUCAACACAGGAGCUAUCACAAAAACAGGUUCUUCCACAGCAAUCACAUCUGUAUCCACAACAACUACAACUGCUCCAACAUCAACAACAAAAGAGUCUGGAACAAAAACAACAACAGCAAGAAUAACAACUGUUACUGCCACAACAAGCUCACCUUCUUACAUUCAUAACACAUCUGGAUCCUCGGCAUCAACAGCCGCUGUCACAAAAAAUUCAAAAACCUCCACAACACCAGUUGUCGCAACAAUAACAUCAGCUGCUGUCACAACAAUUAAAACCACUCCCAUAACAACAUUGGUUUCAACAACAACAUCACCUUAUCUCACAUCAAUGUCAACUUCUCCCUUCAACACAGGAGCUACCUCAAAAACUGGCUCUCCAACAGCAACCACAUCUCAUCCUAUAACGAGCACCACAGCUCCAACAACAACAAAAGAAUCUGAUACACCAACCACAUUUGCUGCCACCACAAACUCAACCGCUCACAUACAAAACAUAUAUGGUCCCACAACAUCAAGAGCUGCUGUCACAACAGUUUUAGAAACCCCCACAACACCAGCUGUUCCAACAACUACAUCACUUGAUGUCACAGCAGUUUCAGAAACUCCCACUAACACAAAAGCUACCACAACAACAGGUUCUUCGACAGCAACCAUAUAUGCUCACACAACGACCAGAACUGCUACAACAACAUCAGCGUUUGUUACAACAGAUUUCACAAUAAUAACAACCUCGCCUGCUGACAUGACCUCCACUUCUGGUCCCACCACAACAACAGCUACAGUCAGAAGAAUUUCAGCAACUCCUACAGCAACAUACGUUGCAUCAAAAACAUUGCCUGAUGUCACAACAAAUGUUGUUAUUCCCACAAAAACAGUUGCUGCUGCAUCAUCCUCACCUUCAGACAUGUCUACCUUUGUUACUCCAUCAAAAGCUGCUGUCACAACAACUGCAGCACACCCCACAAAUCCAGCUGUUUCCACAACAGGUCUUGUUUUAACAAAAACAACAACUUCACCUGCUCACAUGACUAACACAUCUGGUCCCACCACAGCAAAAGCUGCUGUCACAACAACUGAAGCACAUCCCACAAAUCCAGCUGUUUCCACAACAGGUCUUGUUUUAACAAAAACAACAAUUUCACCUGCUCACAUGACUAACACAUCUGGUCCCACCACAGCAAAAGCUGCUGUCACAACAACUGAAGCACAUCCCACAAAUCCAGCUGUUUCCACAACAGGUCUUGUUUUAACAAAAACAACAAUUUCACCUGCUCACAUGACUAACACAUCUGGUCCCACCACAGCAAAAGCUGCUGUCACAACAACUGCAGCACAUCCCACAAAUCCAGCUGUUUCCACAACAGGUCUUGUUUUAACAAAAACAACAAUUUCACCUGCUCACAUGACUAACACAUCUGGUCCCACCACAGCAAAAGCUGCUGUCACAACAACUGAAGCACAUCCCACAAAUCCAGCUGUUUCCACAACAGGUCUUGUUUUAACAAAAACAACAAUUUCACCUGCUCACAUGACUAACACAUCUGGUCCCACCACAGCAAAAGCUGCUGUCACAACAACUGCAGCACAUCCCACAAAUCCAGCUGUUUCCACAACAGGUCUUGUUUUUACACAAACAACAACUUCACCUGCUCACAUGACUAACACAUCUGGUCCCACCACAGAAAAAGCUGCUGUCACCACAACUGCAGCACACCCCACAAAUCCAGCUGUUUCCACAACAGGUCUUGUUUAUACAAAAACAACAACUUCACCUGCUCACAUGACUAACACAUCUGGUCCCACCACAUCAAAAGCUGCUGUAUCAACAAUUACAGGUACUCCCAGCAACACAAAAGCUGCCACAACUAAAGGUUCUCCCACAGCAACCACAGCUGUUCCAGCAACAGUCACAGCCACUACACCCACAGUGUCUGCCACAACAACCACUUCUCAGACUUCAGUGAUAUAUUCAACCAGAUCAGGCACAGUGGUAGUUUUUAUUAGACUGAUGUUCUAUCUCAACACAUUAGUCCCCACUGCGAAAGAUGUCCUUGCGAUCGUUGACAAGGAACUGCGCAAUCAAAUCAGGACUGUCACUCUACCUUCCACAACUACCUUCCAGAAUGCAACGUAUAUCAAACUUGCCAAUACAUCAUAUGCCAUUGAUCUUGCUUUCCAAAUAACCAACGUAACCAUGGAGGAGACACUGAGUCAAAGUGAUACAUUAACUUUCACUAGUGAAACAUACAACCAGAUACAGGAUUCAAUAAAUAGUCUACUGAAGAAUAUUGUCAGCAAACCAGACAGCAAACAAGUUUCCUUUCCUAAUGCCAGCUUCACUGUUGUUGGCAAUCACAUCAUUGCAGAUGUGUUAUAUGUGUACAACAAGACAGGCACCAAUCUUCCUAGUGACUUUGUAGAAGAAAUCUUGAAAGUCUCAGGUCUUCUGACAAGCACAGCUGCCCCAACAACCACAACCAGCACCACACCACUUCCUACCCAUUUGCUGACCACUUUUUUCAGUAGCAAAAGUGGUUUUCCUGGCUGGGCUCUGGCCAUUAUCAUUCCUUGUGGCAUUGCUAUAAUUCUCAUACCCCUCUGGAUCCUGCUAGCAUGCAUGCAAUGUGGUUGUUGUGCUACCAUUAGGAAACGCUGGCACAGACGAAGAUCAUACAAUGUACAAUACACCAUUAGAAACGGACUCUUCUGAGAGGACAAGAUAAACAAAUGAAUAGCCAAUUAUCUUACACUGAGAUUAUGCAAACACUGAGAUGAUAAAGCACAUAUUAGCUUAUAUACUGUUUAUCUACAAGGAUAUUGGAUAAUUUCACGUAUUCAAAAUGCAGUGCUUUAAAAUAUUAUAUAUAUGAUUUUAAUCAGCUGGUAAUUUGUAUGUAGAAUUUUUUUUUGUCAAUUUUGCUGUUGAUAUAAACCAUUUUUUAAUUCAUUGUAUUUAAAAAUCUUCCAUCCAACACUUGUUUAUGUAUUAUAAAAUUUGGUUAAAUAAUUUAUUGGAGAACAAUGCUCAGCAAUGUACAUACAGUGUCUUAUCUGUCUGGGUAAAUUACCAUCGCUGAUCUGGCUAUGCUUAUUAAUUGAAAGUUUGGGUUAUGUAUUUAUCUUUAACAUUUUUAGCCAUAAUUUUUCAUGGUUGAUUCAGGGUUAUCCACAUCCAUGUAGGAGUGUUGAGAAACAUUUUACUUUACACAAAUAUUUAAAUGUUAAUUUACUUUUGGUUCUCUAAAAUGGGUGCUUACAUUUGUACCUUUCCACAGAAUAUGAAUUAAAAAGAAUGUAAUAAGUUUGCACUGUAUCAUUUCAAAA